UAAGCACAAGAGGAACCAGAGCCAAAUGUUAUAAAUCAGGCCGUUAUGCCUUUAGCAGUGAAAUUAUGGCCAAGAUUAUUACCCACAUCUACACAAUAGGUUGAGGGAAGUUUCUUGUGAAGUGCAAAGAGCCUUAAAGCUCGACUACCAGCCUAGUGCCGUCCGUGUACGCUACCGAGGAAACGAGGGGAUGUUAGUUCUUAAAGAAGAUUUAAAAGAAAUCAAACAGCAGUUCCACAAAUCCAUGCAAAGUUCCUCAACCCUGGUGAGAAAAAGCCGGAGGUUCAUGGAACAUCCACGCCAAUAGGUAAAUGGUUACCUUAAAUGACAGUUGAUCAUGUUGCUGGAAGAAAUUGGUGUGUCCCCCCAGAAUCUACAGGCCCCACAAGAGUUGCUGGAGGGGAUAGUCAAAGAAAUCUCCAAGUAUCUCUUACCCUUGCAUGCAUACUUAAAGGAAAUUUUCGUAUUCCACAAGAACUCCAUGGAAACAGAAUUGACGGUUGCAUAAAAGACAACGUAAGCCUUUACAAAGGCGUGAGGUGAAAGAAAUGGAGAAAGCUGCAUAUACAAGAGUUCUUGUCCUCAAUUCACGAGGAAGUAUUCACUGUGCGUGAUCCUCUCAACAAAUUGAACUAAGGCGAAUGCUACUUCAAUCGCACUGUCCCGGGUGACAGGAAGUUUUACUGCCGGCCAGAAGUUUGUGGUGAAGUGCAACCAAUACUACCAUCCAGCCGGAGAUGAUGAUGCGUGUGUUGAAAAUGACUGACAAAAAAAGGAUGACAUGAGUGGAAACAAAUUCGUUAUUAGGUGGGAACGAAAGGUUCUUCCAAGUGGAAAAGAGAAACCAUGCAGCUAUUCGCCCUCUUUUGCAGCUAAAAUCUUAGCAGCUGCGGCUCGCUCUGAAUCAAAAGUUACCACAAAGUUAGAGAGAGCUAAUCGAAGCAAAGAAGUGGGCAAGCUUCUUAAGAAACUGUGGUACGGUAUCGGUGGGAGAAUAUAACGAGCACCAUAGCUGGACAAAGCAGCAUUGAGUAGAUGGAGGCAACCAACUCUAUAGGCAGAUAAACCAAGGGAACCAAGGAAUUGUUCUGUGUUGCACAUCUCACAAUGUAAUGAGCACAGGUUGAUGUGGCUCAGGUCUUCUUCCAAGAGAAACACCAAUUCAUCCCUUAGGCCCUUUGGCCUUGGAACAAUUAAUGAUAACAAAGAACACAAUAAACACCAUGCAAACAGUA